rnacentral:rRNA from 1 species
CCUACGGGAGGCAGCAGUGAGGAAUAUUGGUCAAUGGUCGGGAGACUGAACCAGCCAAGCCGCGUGAGGGAUGAAGGUACAGAGUAUCGUAAACCUCUUUUGUCAGGGAACAAAGGCGGGGACGUGUCCCCGGAUGAGUGUACCUGAAGAAAAAGCAUCGGCUAACUCCGUGCCAGCAGCCGCGGUAAUACGGAGGAUGCGGGCGUUAUCCGGAUUUGUUGGGUUUAAGGGGUGCGCAGGCGGUCUGUUAAGUCAGCGGUCAAAGCCCGGGGCUCAACCCCGGCCCGCCGUUGAAACUGGCAGUCUCGAGUUGGAGAGAAGUAUGCGGAAUGCGCGGUGUAGCGGUGAAAUGCAUAGAUAUCGCGCAGAACUCCGAUUGCGAAGGCAGCAUGCCGGCUCCACACUGACGCUGAGGCACGAAAGCGUGGGUAUCGAACAGGAUUAGAUACCCUAGUAGUC